UAUCCUUCCAUGUUUGUCUCCUUUCUAUGUGGAUAACUUUCUCACGUUUGGUCUGCUAUAUCAUAUACAUUUGAUCAAUUUUCUAACAAGUAUAAAACCCUUUCAUUAUUCCACUAGAAUUUGUCUCCUUCUCACCAUUAACAAAACUUGACAAUAGUACUUGCACAGUGAUGACAAAAAUAGUUUUUGAAAAACUAGAUUAAAACCAAGCCUUCCUA